AUUGAACGCUGGCGGCAUGCUUUACGCAUGCAAGUCGAACGGGCUUAGGGGCUUGCUCCUAAGUUAGUGGCGAACGGUGAGUAAUACAUCGGAACGUACCGUGUAGUGGGGGAUAACGUAGCGAAAGUUACGCUAAUACCGCAUACGAUCUACGGAUGAAAGUGGGGGACCUUCGGGCCUCACGCUAUACGAGCGGCCGAUGUCUGAUUAGCUAGUUGGUGAGGUAAAGGCUCACCAAGGCAACGAUCAGUAGCGGGUCUGAGAGGAUGAUCCGCCACACUGGGACUGAGACACGGCCCAGACUCCUACGGGAGGCAGCAGUGGGGAAUUUUGGACAAUGGGCGAAAGCCUGAUCCAGCCAUGCCGCGUGCUGAGAAGGCCUC
rnacentral:rRNA from 1 species